AGUAAAAAUACUUGUUUCUUGUUCUUUAUUUUGCAAUAAAUGAGGUUGUAAACAAGGCCAGCUUCAUGAUUGCAUGUCCUUUGCAGUUGCACAAGUCCCUGGACUUAGAAGGCCUUGCACUUGGUGUAAUGCUCUGCUAUCAUUGUCUCAGCUGAUCCUGGUUAAAAAUGACUAAAAUACUUAUGACUAUCCUUGAAAGUAUAAGAGUCCAGGGCCAAAAACCUGCAAUGAAAACAAAAAAGACCUAUAUUCACUUUAUUGCAUGUCAUUAUUCAUGUUUCUAAAGAUAUCCAGUCUUUAACCUGUAAUCACUUGUUCUACCUCUAAAAUUGUAAGUUCAGAUAAUUUUUGCAAAAGGACAAGAAAAGCACAUAAUACUCUGUAAAAAUGAGAGCUUUCCUCACACCCCUUCACCCCUGCCUUUGAAGGACAACAACAAGGACUACCACUUUACAAGCUCUUCUGUAGCCAAAUUUUCCUAGGUUGCACAAAUUGGCAAUCUAACAGCUAAUUUUCCCAUAUCCCACAGAAACAUUAUUUCAGAGAUUUUUAUCAUCAGCAUAGACUAUGUCAUAUGAGUUCUCCAUUACAAAUUGCUAGUUUGGCUUCAUUUAGAAUGAAGUGUCAAAUAUCUCAAAUCAUUAAAAGUCAAACAUAUUAUCUGAUGUAAAGAUAAAAUUUACCAAUCCAGAAAAAUGUACUAUUAGAUCUUCAAUACUUUAUGUUUUCACCCUUCCAGUUCCCUUCUACCAGUUUCCUCUUCCAGGCUUUCUUUGCUUUCUUCCUAAUUACAGCCUUAUUACUGCUACAGACCAUGGAGCCUGAUAAAUAGCAUUAAUUGAAAACAAUUAUUGUUACAAAUGAGAACUUGCUGAAUAGACCCAUAAAGUUUCUGUCCUCUUCAAAGUCUGCCCAGAUAAGCCUGGAAGUGUGGGGAGUUAAUGCCUAUGUGGCAGACGUUGCUCAAAGAGACAGAGGACACAAGGAAUAUUCAAUAGUUGAAUUGCUUGAACUUUCCUCUGACAUGUCCUCUCAACCUCGCCACUACCCCCUCAUAUAUGCAAAACAGACUGUUUUGAGAAGUGGAGGUUCUAGACUGUAUUGAAUCCCUCCCCCACAAAUUCAUAUUAUGAAGCUCUAACCUCCAAUGUGACUGUAUUUGGAGACAAGGACUUUAAGGAGGUAACGAAGGCUAAACGAGGUCACAAAGAUGGGGCCUCAAUCCCAUAUGAUUGGUGUCCUUAUAGAAAGAAAAAGACACUAGGGAUGCAUACACUCAGAGGAGAGGCCAUGUGGGAACACAGUGAGAAGGUGGCCAUCUGCAAGCCAAGGAGAGAGCCUCGGGAGAAAUCAAACCUCCUGACAUCUUGAUCUUGGACAUCCAGCCUUCAGAGCUGUGACAAAAUAAACUUCUGUUGUUGAAGCCAUCUAGUCAGUAGUAUUUUCUUUUGGCAGCCUAAGCAGACUACUACAUGGGGGUUUCAUGCUGUGUCUCUGGAUAUGUUCCCUGCGAACAUAUCAGCUGUUCAUAUCUGAACCCACAAGCUGUUUUUCUGGUGAUGCUGUCAGCUCCCUUAGACAUCUUUUGCAUUUACUCUUCCUCCUUCUGUUUCACUUCCCUCUUUUGUCUUGCUCUUUUCCUCAGGCUCUGUGUUUGAGGAAAUCCUAGACGAGUUCUAGACAGCACACAUCCUUCAGGAGGUAUUUUGGGUUUGAAUUCCCUGCCUGUUUGAAGGCAAAAGCAGUCACAAAGCUCAUGGAAAUUGCAACUAAUUAUCACCGUGAAGAAUUUGAUUUGCACCUCCUCUUCUAGUCAAGAAUUGAAUGCAAAGUGUUCUUAUGUGAGAUCUGAAGAUCACUAAAGAGUGAGAGUGAAAAUGAGCUUCUGCCUUCUGAAUCUACCUGACUUCACCUGACCCUCAGGACUUGGGAGACUGCUUUUCUUCCUGGCCAGAGCGUCAUUAGGAAUGACUCAUGAAAUUACUUCAACCAUAAAACUUAGGUCAUUGCAACUGCUGUAAUCACCACCACCAUCCAAACGGGCCAAGUAUCCCCCAACCAGCAUACACACACAUUUACACAUAUACUUGGAGGAGUCCACAGAACCAAACACUGACUGGACUGGACCACUGGAGCCCUCAUUUCUUCCAAAACUGCCUAGAGACCCAGGGAAUACAACUUGCAGGUAUAGGACAGUUAACCAAUGAGCUUGUCUUU